rnacentral:rRNA from 1 species
GCAAGUCGAGCGGUAACAGAAAGUAGCUUGCUACUUUGCUGACGAGCGGCGGACGGGUGAGUAAUGCUUGGGAACAUGCCUUGAGGUGGGGGACAACAGUUGGAAACGACUGCUAAUACCGCAUAAUGUCUACGGACCAAAGGGGGCUUCGGCUCUCGCCUUUAGAUUGGCCCAAGUGGGAUUAGCGAGUUGGUGAGGUAAUGGAAAACAAAGGCAACGAUCCCGAGCUGGUUUGAGAGGAUGAGC